rnacentral:rRNA from 1 species
AUGCCCUUGCGCCAGAAGGUCCUGCUCCAUGUCGUGACUCUAUUCAGAGAAGAAAGAAAGCGAUCCGUUGACCACACGCGCAGAAUUUCGCAUGUCCGUCUACACUAUUCGUCGAGUUCUUCGCCUCGUUCUGUCAAACUCGGGGGUGACGACGAUGUUGGACAUGGACAAAAACAGGUUGUCGAAGAAGGACUCAACAACGAAGGCAUGCCUCCUUCUUUGAUCAUACUUAUCCUAUGCUUUACAAAAUUGCAUUGUGUUUUAUGGUUACUAUAUGCAUGCUAUUUUAAUUCUCAUAGCUAG